rnacentral:lncRNA from 1 species
UGCUGCUGCUGCAUCCGGUGCUUCUGCACCUCGGCGUACAAGCUGUCUCUUUGCUUCUUGGACAUCCGGCCAAACUUGACAGCUGGGAAGAGAGAAAGCACGGCAUACCUUGAACCAGGCAGAGUUAGCCUCCCUCAAGCUUUCAGGUUUCCAGAACUUCUCAGAGCAGGUCAGCAUAAAAGCAGGCCACCCACAAGGCAAGAACGACUUCCUCAAGCUUCCCCAGCGCCCUUGCAAACACACCCACCCCGUUCUCUACAGGUCGGCAGAUAGGUAUGUAAGGCACUCAAAAUCUGCUGUCGCUGUCCUCAUUGCUGCUUUGUGUGAUGACUGGGGUCUGCGUGGACCACGCCAAUAAGCCUGUUCUGCGUCCAUGGCUCUGAGGCCACCCCAUACAAGUGGUCACAACAGUGAUAGUGAAGAUGCUACGCAGACUCAAGGGACACUUUCGAGGUUACUUUUAAGUGCCUCCAAUCCUUGGAAUAUCCUAACAGGUGGGAAGGGCAGGUGUCACGACUACUUUAUGGAUGAAGUCGAGGGAUUAAAAGGCUGAGAUGUGGGCAGG